rnacentral:rRNA from 1 species
UACGUAGGGUGCAAGCGUUGUCCGGAAUUAUUGGGCGUAAAGAGCUCGUAGGCGGUUCGUCGCGUCGGCUGUGAAAUACCCGAGGCUCAACCUCGGGUCUGCAGUCGAUACGGGGCGGACUGGAGUUCGGCAGGGGAGGACUGGAAUUCCUGGUGUAGCGGUGAAAUGCGCAGAUAUCAGGAGGAACACCGAUGGCGAAGGCAGGUCUCUGGGCCACUACUGACGCUGAGAAGCGAAAGCAUGGGGAGCGAACAGG